UACGGGGGGGGCAAGCGUUGUUCGGAAUUACUGGGCGUAAAGGGCUUGUAGGUGGCCAACUAAGUCAGACGUGAAAUCCCUCGGCUUAACCGGGGAACUGCGUCUGAUACUGGAUGGCUUGAGUUUGGGAGAGGGAUGCGGAAUUCCAGGUGUAGCGGUGAAAUGCGUAGAUAUCUGGAGGAACACCGGUGGCGAAGGCGGCAUCCUGGACCAAGACUGACGCUGAAAAGCGAAAGCCAGGGGAGCAAACGGG
rnacentral:rRNA from 1 species